CCUACGGGUGGCAGCAGUGAGGAAUAUUGGUCAAUGGGCGGGAGCCUGAACCAGCCAAGCCGCGUGAAGGAAGAAGGCGCCAGGCGUCGUAAACUUCUUUUGUCGGGGAACAAAGGGCGCCACGUGUGGCGUUGUGAGUGUACCCGAAGAAAAAGCAUCGGCUAACGCCGUGCCAGCAGCCGCGGUAAUACGGAGGAUGCGAGCGUUAUCGGGAUUUAUUGGGUUAAAAGGGUGCGUAGGCGGUCCGGAAAGUCAGCGGUAAAAGCCCGGGGCUCAACCCCGGCGAGCCGUUUAAACUGGUUUACUUGAGUGAGUGAGAAGUAUGCGGAAUGCGUGGUGUAGCGGUGAAAUGCAUAGAUAUCGCGCAGAACUCCGAUUGCGAAGGCAGCAUACCGGCGCUCAACUGACGCUCAUGCACGAAAGUGUGGGUAUCGAACAGGAUUAGAUACCCGAGUAGUC
rnacentral:rRNA from 1 species